GAAGUCGGAAUCGCUAGUAAUCGCGGAUCAGCAUGCCGCGGUGAAUACGUUCCCGGGCCUUGUACACACCGCCCGUCACACCAUGAGAGUCGGGAACACCCGAAGUCCGUAGCCUAACCGCAAGGAGGGCGCGGCCGAAGGUGGGUUCGAUAAUUGGGUGAAGUCGUAACAAGGUACC
rnacentral:rRNA from 1 species